GACGAACGCUGGCGGCGUGCUUAACACAUGCAAGUCGAACGGAAAGGCCCUGCUUUUGUGGGGUGCUCGAGUGGCGAACGGGUGAGUAACCCGUGAGUAACCUGCCCUUGACUUUGGGAUAACUUCAGGAAACUGGGGCUAAUACCGGAUAGGAGCUCCUGCUGCAUGGUGGGGGUUGGAAAGUUUCGGCGGGUGGGGAUGGACUCGCGGCUUAUCAGCUUGUUGGUGGGGUAGUGGCUUACCAAGGCUUUGACGGGUAGCCGGCCUGAGAGGGUGACCGGCCACAUUGGGACUGAGAGACGGCCCAGACUCCUACGGGAGGCAGCAGUGGGGAGUAUGGCACAGUGGGCGGAAGCCUGAUGCAGCAACGCCGCGUGCGGGAUGACGGCCUACGGGUUGUAAACCGCUUUCGCCUGAGACGAAGCGUGAGUGACGGUAAUGGGUAAAGAAGCACCGGCUAACUACGUG
rnacentral:rRNA from 1 species